CCCUUAGAUGUUCUGGGCCGCACGCGCGCUACACUGAUGCAUUCAACGAGUCUAAAGCCUGCUCUGAUAGGGGUGGGUAAUCUUUUGAAUGUGCAUCGUGAUUGGGAUAGAUGAUUGCAAUUUUUCAUCUUCAACGAGGAAUGCCUAGUAAACGCAAGUCAUCAGCUUGCAUUGAUUACGUCCCUGCCCUUUGUACACACCGCCCGUCGCUCCUACCGAUUGAAUGAUCCGAUGAAUAUCAUGGAUUGAGGAUUAUAGCAGGUUCGCCUGUCUUGAUCUUCGAGAAGUGAAGUAAAUCUUGUCAUUUAGAGGAAGGAGAAGUCGUAACA
rnacentral:rRNA from 1 species